rnacentral:misc_RNA from 1 species
UUGGAAGUAAAAGUCGUAACAAGGUUUUCCGUAGGUGAACCUGCGGAAGGAUCAUUACCGAGUGCGGGCUGCUUCCGGGCGCCCAACCUCCCACCCGUGACUACCUAACACUGUUGCUUCGGCGGGGAGCCCCCUAGGGGCGAGCCGCCGGGGACCACUGAACUUCAUGCCUGAGAGUGAUGCAGUCUGAGCCUGAAUACAAAUCAGUCAAAACUUUCAACAAUGGAUCUCUUGGUUCCGGCAUCGAUGAAGAACGCAGCGAACUGCGAUAAGUAAUGUGAAUUGCAGAAUUCAGUGAAUCAUCGAGUCUUUGAACGCACAUUGCGCCCCCUGGCAUUCCGGGGGGCAUGCCUGUCCGAGCGUCAUUGCUGCCCUCAAGCCCGGCUUGUGUGUUGGGUCGUCGUCCCCCCCGGGGGACGGGCCCGAAAGGCAGCGGCGGCACCGUGUCCGGUCCUCGAGCGUAUGGGGCUUUGUCACCCGCUCGAUUAGGGCCGGCCGGGCGCCAGCCGGCGUCUCCAACCUUAUUUUUCUCAGGUUGACCUCGGAUCAGGUAGGGAUACCCGCUGAACUUAAGCAUAUCAAUAAGCGGAGGAA